AUGCAUGCUAUCCUAAUGGCCAGGCUUGUGUGUAGCUUGUGUCCUCCAAGUGCAUGCAAGAACAUGCGGGACAGUCUUUGACUGUUCUGACUUGAUUGUGGCAGCAGCAGCCACUCAGCUGUCCCACAGAU